CCGUACUGAACAGGCACACCGAGGAGGCAGCACAAAGCUGUAUUAUCCUUCACCGAAAAAGUCCUGCUUUGGGAAGGCACCAGGUUCAUUGGGCUGAAGAGCAGCAGAAGUGAAGUGCUGGAAGAGGAGAGUUACAGCUGCACUAUUUCAGGAAUGUUCCGGAGCCUGAGCGAAAGGUGGUAUGGAAACAAAGCAUGAGACUGGAAACUGACAUCCUGAGGAGCUGCAUUUGGAGGGGUGUCCCUGAGAGGAGCAAGGGACAGGAUGCCAGCAGCUAGUACCUGCCAGCACAAAGCAGUCAGCAAAGGCCUUUAUCUUCUGCACAGGCUGACUGUCAGGAGUGCUGGGGCUGAUGGAAGGACUCCGACAGAUGCCCGGAGAUCUGACUCCCACUUGGUUUCUGCACUUCAAAUGAAGGAGCUCUGGAGGAGAAGCCAACUGAACAAAUGGAAAUUAAGGAAACAUUCUGCCUGCACCUGCAGAAGAUACUACAGCUGAUCCGUAACUGGGAAUGUCCAUCACUGUGGAAUUCUCCCAGUUCAGCAGGCUGGCUACCU